GACGAACGCUGGCGGCGUGCUUAACACAUGCAAGUCGAGCGGUAAGGCCCUUUCGGGGGUACACGAGCGGCGAACGGGUGAGUAACACGUGGGUGACCUGCCCUCAGCUCUGGGAUAAGCCCGGGAAACUGGGUCUAAUACUGGAUAUGACUCCAUGACGCAUGUUGUGGGGUGGAAAGCCUUGUGCGGCUGAGGAUGGGCCCGCGGCCUAUCAGCUUGUUGGGGGGUGAUGGCCUACCAAGGCGACGACGGGUAGCCGGCCUGAGAGGGCGACCGGCCACACUGGGACUGAGACACGGCCCAGACUCCUACGGGAGGCAGCAGUGGGGAAUCUUGCGCAAUGGGCGAAAGCCUGACGCAGCGACGCCGCGUGAGGAUGAC
rnacentral:rRNA from 1 species